UCAACCCAUUUAACCUUCUAACCCAUCAAAUUAAAUGAGUUGAUGGGUUGACUCAACUCAUUUUACUAAAUGAGUUGAGUCAAUCCAUCAACUCAUUUAACUCUAAACUCAUUGGGUAAUGAGU
rnacentral:pre_miRNA from 1 species